CCUCGGGAUCACUUAGUACGGCGAGUGAAGCGGCAAAAGCUCAAAUUUGAAAUCUGGUACCUUCGGUGCCCGAGUUGUAAUUUGGAGAGGGCAACUUUGGGGCCGUUCCUUGUCUAUGUUCCUUGGAACAGGACGUCAUAGAGGGUGAGAAUCCCGUGUGGCGAGGAGUGCGGUUCUUUGUAAAGUGCCUUCGAAGAGUCGAGUUGUUUGGGAAUGCAGCUCUAAGUGGGUGGUAAAUUCCAUCUAAAGCUAAAUAUUGGCGAGAGACCGAUAGCGAACAAGUACAGUGAUGGAAAGAUGAAAAGAACUUUGAAAAGAGAGUGAAAAAGUACGUGAAAUUGUUGAAAGGGAAGGGCAUUUGAUCAGACAUGGUGUUUUGUGCCCUCUGCUCCUUGUGGGUAGGGGAAUCUCGCAUUUCACUGGGCCAGCAUCAGUUUUGGUGGCAGGAUAAAUCCAUAGGAAUGUAGCUUGCCUCGGUAAGUAUUAUAGCCUGUGGGAAAUACGGCCAGUUGGAAUGGAGAACGGCAACGAAAGUCAGGGAGGUUGGAUUAUGGGUAAUUUGCCGCCCGCUUGAA
rnacentral:rRNA from 1 species